AUGCUUCGUGGUUUUGCACGGGUCGAAAUUGAAACAGACUGUUUGGAAGUGGUCAACCUCUGGAAAUCGCGCCGGAAUUCGCGCUCUGUAAUAGCGCCGUUACUUUUAGAUAUUGAGGAGCUUGUUGCUCAGUUUACUUAUUUUGACAUUCUUCAUGUAAAGAGACAUGCCAAUGUCCUUGCCCACCUUUGUGCAAAACAUGCAUGCACAUUGGAGGUGACAGAAUGUUGGAUGGACUUCCCUUAG
rnacentral:rRNA from 1 species